UACGUAGGCAGCAAGCGUUGUUCGGAGUUACUGGGCGUAAAGGGUGUGUAGGCGGUUGUUUAAGUUUGGUGUGAAAUCUCCCGGCUCAACUGGGAGGGUGCGCCGAAUACUGAAUGACUAGAGUGCGGGAGAGGAAAGUGGAAUUCCUGGUGUAGCGGUGAAAUGCGUAGAUAUCAGGAGGAACACCGGUGGUGUAGACGGCUUUCUGGACCGUAACUGACGCUGAGACAGAACGCGUGG
rnacentral:rRNA from 1 species